AGUCAGUCAGGCAAGGUCCUUUGCAUCGGUGCAGAAUGGUACCUUCUUCCCAGCCUCUCCCUGAAGUUCUUUCUUCCCUCUUUGCUUGACUCAGGUUGCCUUGGCUGGAAUUCAUUUGGACAUGAUCUUGUUUCUCUUGUCCAGAAAAAAAAAAGACGCAACUUUCAUUCUUAAUGUCUCAUAUAACACAAGCUGGUCUCAACUUAGUGUGUUAUAUGACCAAGGGUGAUCUUGAACUUCUCACCUUCCUGCCUCUUAACUUUGGAUGCUGUAAUUACAAGCUUGUGCCUCUGUGCCUGGUUUAUGCAGUGCUGAAGAUUGAAUCCAGGGUUCCAUAUAUGUUAGGCAUCUGGUUUUCCAUGGUGUUGGCUGGAUGAUCUGGAUGCCAGCAGAACUUCUCAGGAAGGUGUGAGGAGACCCGGGCCAGACAAUGGAGAUGCCUGAUUGGCUGGUGAAAAUUUCCACACAGGAGCAUUUCGUGGUCCUGCAAAGAAAGAGAUCAGGUGCUUAAAGAUAAAACUUUCAUCAGGGCCUGUCAGCUGGGAAUUGAUUUCUGGUCUCAUCACCACCUCCCCCCUUCUCCCACUGAAGGUACCAUGGCAU
rnacentral:sRNA from 1 species